GCUCAGGACGAACGCUGGCGGCAUGCCUAACACAUGCAAGUCGAACGAGAAAGUUCCUUCGGGAGUGAUUAAAGUGGCGCACGGGUGAGUAACGCGUAGACAAUCUGCCCUUCAGUCUGGGACAACUUUUCGAAAGAAGAGCUAAUACCGGAUAACAAUGUUUGGCAUAAGCCAAAUAUUUGAAAGCUUUAUGUGCUGAGGGAGGGGUCUGCGUCCCAUUAGCUUGUUGGUAAGGUAACGGCUUACCAAGGCAACGAUGGGUAGCGGGUUUGAGAGGACGAUCCGCCACACUGGAACUGAGACACGGUCCAGACUCCUACGGGAGGCAGCAGUGGGGAAUAUUGCACAAUGGAGGAAACUCUGAUGCAGCAAUGUCGCGUGAGUGAAGAAGGCCCUUGGGUCGUAAAGCUCUUUUAUGAGGGAAGAUGAUGACGGUACCUCAGGAAUAAGCACCGGCUAACUACGUGCCAGCAGCCGCGGUAAUACGUAGGGUGCGAGCGUUGUUCGGAAUUACUGGGCGUAAAGGGCGCGCAGGCGGAAUGGCAAGUCGGAGGUGAAAGCCCGGGGCUCAACCCCGGAGGGUCUUUCGAAACUGCUAUUCUAGAGAGGGUCAGGGGCCAGCAGAAUUCCUGGUGUAGAGGUGAAAUUCGUAGAUAUCAGGAGGAAUACCGGUGGCGAAAGCGGCUGGCUGGGACCACUCUGACGCUGAGGCGCGAAAGCGUGGGGAGCAAACAGGAUUAGAUACCCUGGUAGUCCACGCCGUAAACGAUGAGCACUGGACGUCCGGAGGGUUCGACCCUUCUGGGUGUUUCAGCUAACGCAUUAAGUGCUCCGCCUGGGGAGUACGGUCGCAAGACUAAAACU
rnacentral:rRNA from 1 species